rnacentral:misc_RNA from 1 species
AGUCUCAAACAUACUCCCUGACCCUGCAUAAUGAUCAGAAUCAGUUAUUGCCCCAUUUUGGCACCCAAAGUAAUGGGCGAAACUUGAUUUACAAACUUCUGUAGUCCAUAACUUCUACAGAUAAUAAAGCAGUUAUUGGUUAUCCACACUCUCCCUUUCUCCUACACGACACAAGCUCUCAAAACUUUUACAUAACCGAAAAAGCUCCAGAAUGAUAUCAUGCCAUAUAAGAGUUAAUUAGGAAAGCACCACGUAUAAGAGUUAAUUAGCCAAAUGACAAUCAGCGACCAACGUGAUAUAAUUCCAAGAAUACAUAUUGCCCACCAAAUUAGAAAUUUACCAUCUAGUUUCAAUUUUUAGCAUAUAUGUCUGCAAAUAAAAUUA